CCCUUAGAUGUUCUGGGCCGCACGCGCGCUACAAUGGUCUUCGCAAACGGAUGCAUUCUCGAAGGAGAAUGCCAAUCUUGGAAUCUAUGCCUUGGUCGGGACAGUUGCUUGCAAUUUUUCGACUCGAACCAGGAAUUCCUUGUAAUCGUGAUUCAUCACAUCACGAUGAAUACGUCCCUGCCCUUUGUACACACCGCCCGUCGCUCCUACCGAUCGAAGAGUUAGGUGAAUUGUUUUGGUCGAUAAGAUUUGACUAUGGUCAACUCUCGUUGUGAAAUUCUGUGAAUCUGACUGUUUAGAGGAAGGAAAAGUCGUAACA
rnacentral:rRNA from 1 species